rnacentral:rRNA from 1 species
AUUGAACGCUGGCGGCAGGCCUAACACAUGCAAGUCGAACGGUAACAGGGAUCAGCUUGCUGAUUCGCUGACGAGUGGCGGACGGGUGAGUAAUGUCUGGGAAACUGCCUGAUGGAGGGGGAUAACUACUGGAAACGGUAGCUAAUACCGCAUAACGUCGCAAGACCAAAGAGGGGGACCUUCGGGCCUCUUGCCAUCGGAUGUGCCCAGAUGGGAUUAGCUAGUAGGUGGGGUAACGGCCCACCUAGGCGACGAUCCCUAGCUGGUCUGAGAGGAUGACCAGCCACACUGGAACUGAGACACGGUCCAGACUCCUAUGGGAGGCAGCAGUGGGGAAUAUUGCACAAUGGGCGCAAGCCUGAUGCAGCCAUGCCGCGUGUAUGAAGAAGGCCUUCGGGUUGUAAAGUACUUUCAGCGGGGAGGAAGGGAGUAAAGUUAAUACCUUUGCUCAUUGACGUUACCCGCAGAAGAAGCACCGGCUAACCCCGUG